GAUGAACGCUGGCGGCGUGCCUAAUACAUGCAAGUCGAGCGAACAGACGAGGAGCUUGCUCCUCUGACGUUAGCGGCGGACGGGUGAGUAACACGUGGAUAACCUACCUAUAAGACUGGGAUAACUUCGGGAAACCGGAGCUAAUACCGGAUAAUAUAUUGAACCGCAUGGUUCAAUAGUGAAAGACGGUUUUGCUGUCACUUAUAGAUGGAUCCGCGCCGCAUUAGCUAGUUGGUAAGGUAACGGCUUACCAAGGCAACGAUGCGUAGCCGACCUGAGAGGGUGAUCGGCCACACGGGAACGGAGACACGGUCCAGACUCCUACGGGAGGCAGCAGUAGGGAAUCUUCCGCAAUGGGCGAAAGCUUGACGGAGCAACGCCGCGUGAGUGAUGAAGGUCUUCGGAUCGUAAAACUCUGUUAUUAGGGAAGAACAAAUGUGUAAGUAACUAUGCACGUCUUGACGGUACCUAAUCAGAAAGCCACGGCUAACUACGU
rnacentral:rRNA from 1 species